rnacentral:tRNA from 1 species
GGCCCCAUCGUCUAGAGGCCUAGGACACUUGGUUCUCAUCCAAGAAACCCCGGUUCAAAUCCGGGUGGGGUCA